AGAACGAACGCUGGCGGCAUGCCUAACACAUGCAAGUCGAACGAGACCUUCGGGUCUAGUGGCGCACGGGUGCGUAACGCGUGGGAAUCUGCCCUUAGGUACGGAAUAACAGUGAGAAAUUACUGCUAAUACCGUAUGAUGUCUUCGGACCAAAGAUUUAUCGCCUAGGGAUGAGCCCGCGUUGGAUUAGCUAGUUGGUGGGGUAAAGGCCUACCAAGGCGACGAUCCAUAGCUGGUCUGAGAGGAUGAUCAGCCACACUGGGACUGAGACACGGCCCAGACUCCUACGGGAGGCAGCAGUGGGGAAUAUUGGACAAUGGGCGAAAGCCUGAUCCAGCAAUGCCGCGUGAGUGAAGAAGGCCUUCGGGUUGUAAACCGUCUUUUGUCAGGGAAGAAACGGUUCGAUCUAAUACAACGAACUAAUGACGGUACCUGAAAGAAUAAGCACCGGCUAACUACGCGCCAGCAGCCGCGGUAA
rnacentral:rRNA from 1 species